rnacentral:lncRNA from 1 species
AUAUGUUCAGAUGAUUGAUUGGAUCGGUGGUCCCAUCAUAUUCUUUGAUCCUAGGAUACUUAAAUCUGUCCGGCAAGGGGAAUGUUAAUAUCUCGGGAGUAAAUGGAGUGUUGGGACUGAAUCUUGUCGUCCCUUUGUUGCCCUGAAGUAGGCCCGCCGUAAUUCCUUCUUGAAUAAUCCUAGCAAGUUCCCCGGACUCCAUGGUCAGUGAUCUCGAGGCCGAGGUCACAUGUG